CUUGGUCAUUUAGAGGAAGUAAAAGUCGUAACAAGGUCUCCGUUGGUGAACCAGCGGAGGGAUCAUUACCGAGUUUACAACUCCCAAACCCAAUGUGAACGUUACCAAACUGUUGCCUCGGCGGGAUCUCUGCCCCGGGUGCGUCGCAGCCCCGGACCAAGGCGCCCGCCGGAGGACCAACCAAAACUCUUUUUGUAUACCCCCUCGCGGGUUUUUUAUAAUCUGAGCCUUCUCGGCGCCUCUCGUAGGCGUUUCGAAAAUGAAUCAAAACUUUCAACAACGGAUCUCUUGGUUCUGGCAUCGAUGAAGAACGCAGCGAAAUGCGAUAAGUAAUGUGAAUUGCAGAAUUCAGUGAAUCAUCGAAUCUUUGAACGCACAUUGCGCCCGCCAGUAUUCUGGCGGGCAUGCCUGUCCGAGCGUCAUUUCAACCCUCGAACCCCUCCGGGGGGUCGGCGUUGGGGAUCGGCCCUGCCUCUUGGCGGUGGCCGUCUCCGAAAUACAGUGGCGGUCUCGCCGCAGCCUCUCCUGCGCAGUAGUUUGCACACUCGCAUCGGGAGCGCGGCGCGUCCACAGCCGUUAAACACCCAACUUCUGAAAUGUUGACCUCGGAUCAGGUAGGAAUACCCGCUGAACUUAAGCAUAUCAAUAAGCGGAGGA
rnacentral:rRNA from 1 species